rnacentral:rRNA from 1 species
CUACGGGUGGCUGCAGUGAGGAAUUUUGCGCAAUGGGGGAAACCCUGACGCAGCAACGCCGCGUGAGCGAAGAAGGCCCUCGGGUCGUAAAGCUCUGUCAAGUGGGAAAAAAAUCUUUUGAUCAAUAGUUAAAAGACUUGAUGGUACCACUGGAAGAAGCACCGGCUAACUCCGUGCCAGCAGCCGCGGUAAUACGGAGGGUGCAAGCGUUGUUCGGAUUUACUGGGCGUAAAGAGCGUGUAGGCGGUUUAGCAAGUCAGAUGUGAAAGCCCUGGGCUCAACCCGGGAAGUGCAUUUGAAACUGCUUCACUAGAGUAUGGGAGAGGAGAUUGGAAUUCCUGGUGUAGAGGUGAAAUUCGUAGAUAUCAGGAGGAACACCCGUGGCGAAGGCGAUUCUCUGGACCAAUACUGACGCUGAGACGCGAAAGCGUGGGGAGCAAACAGGAUUAGAUACCCUAGUAGUC